UGACAAUUUCUACCAUUGGAAGAUAAAAAUGGAGCUUUCGUUGGCAUCUUUGGAUCUUUGGGAUAUUGUAGAUGAAAGUGAAGAGGCUCCAAGAAAAGAUGCUGAUAUGAAGGAGAAGAAGGAGUUCAAAUGUCAUGAAAAGAAGGCUUUUGGAUUGAUUGCAACCAAUGUGGAUGAAGCCAACUUCUCCCACAUUAUCUCUUACAAAGGACCAGCGGAAGUAUGGAAGACUCUUUGCAAUAUCUAUGAGAGCAAAAACUUAUCGAUCAUCAUCUAUACAAGGAGGA
rnacentral:lncRNA from 1 species